AUGGAGAAGGCGACACAGGAGUCUGAGCAGGAGGCAUGGCAGGGUGCGGUGGAGGCCCUCCUCCCGUCCACGCCCGCCGCCGCGGCGUGGCCCCACCUUGCCAGCUUCUGCGCGCUGCACCGGUACCUCUCCGGCGUCGACGUUUGCAAGCGCGUGGCCGGGGAGGACGGCCACCCUGGAUGCGUCCGCUACGUCGCCUCCCGCGCGGCGCCUGCACCGGGAGAGGAGGACCAGGACCAGCACGAGGCGGCGCCUGCCGCGAUCGCGACAUGGGCCCGCGAAGAGCUGCUCGAGCUGGAUGACGCCGCGCGCCGGCUGAGCUACGCCGUAGUUGGCAGCAACAUGGGGUUCGGCCGCUACGUCGCCACCAUGAUGGUUGUCGAGGAGGAGACAGAGGCGGCGGGUUGCAAGCUCGUGUGGGAGUUCGAGUGCGAGCCUGUGCAGGGCUGGAGCAGGGACGGGCUCGUCGGCUACCUCGAGACCACCGUCAAGGGCAUGGCUGCGCGGAUCGUGGAGGCCGCCGCCGAUUAA
rnacentral:rRNA from 1 species